UACAGAGGUGGCAAGCGUUGUUCGGAAUUACUGGGCGUAAAGGGCGCGUAGGCGGACUCUUAAGUCAGGGGUGAAAUCCUGGAGCUCAACUCCAGAACUGCCUUUGAUACUGGGAGUCUUGAGUUCGGGAGAGGUGAGUGGAACUGCGAGUGUAGAGGUGAAAUUCGUAGAUAUUCGCAAGAACACCAGUGGCGAAGGCGGCUCACUGGCCCGAUACUGACGCUGAGGUGCGAAAGCGUGGGGAGCAAACAGG
rnacentral:rRNA from 1 species